rnacentral:rRNA from 1 species
UACGUAGGUGGCGAGCGUUGUCCGGAUUUACUGGGCGUAAAGGGAGCGUAGGCGGACUUUUAAGUGAGAUGUGAAAUACCCGGGCUCAACUUGGGUGCUGCAUUUCAAACUGGAAGUCUAGAGUGCAGGAGAGGAGAAUGGAAUUCCUAGUGUAGCGGUGAAAUGCGUAGAGAUAUGGAGGAACACCAGUGGCGAAGGCGGCUUCCUGGUCUGUAACUGACACUGAGGCGCGAAAGCGUGGGGAGCAAACAGGAUUAGAUAUCCCGGUA